rnacentral:lncRNA from 1 species
UGAAAAUGAAAAAGAACACGCUUUUUGCAAGCAUAUGCUGUGAGCUCCUCUCUUACCCACACUGUCCCCCUUGAAAUCCCUCCGGUCUCAUGCUGCACUCGGUAUCACUAUCUUCAAGUUCCCGAAACCCAAUGUCUACCGUUUUCCCACAUACAGCUACAACCGGCCUUCCUUAUUCACCUUUUCACCAAUUCAAGAAACGCCCACUUUGUUUCUUGCCACCCCAACCUCCUCCUACUCUUUGGUCUCACCCACUUUGUUUGGAUUCAUUGAGGAUUAGAGAUUGUCCGAGAAUUUUGUUGCAUAGGAAUGGACUUCUUGCUCGGGCUGAGGAUAAAGCCAGAGGUGGCUCUUCUUCUACUUCGUCGACUCAACAACAACCCAGCUCAGAUAAGCAAUUUCAGGUCUUGAUGUUCUGUGUAAAAUUUAUUUGUACUCGAGAACGAUCACACAUUUAGAUAGUAGAUAAUUCAGUUCAUUGUAUUUCCUGUGCCCCUGUAGAAAAAAUUUGAAGUCAAUUUCUUGCUUCACAUCUGUUUAUCUUAGGUGAUUUUUAUAUGAGGCAGGAUAAUUCAAGAAUUCACAAACUCGAAUUAUGAAAUAGUCUCGGAGUGUUUUCAGGAUAAUUCAGGAUAAUAUUUUGUUCACUAUUUGCGUACAUCAUGAAAGCGCAUCUCGGAGUGUUCUCAGGAACCUUUCUUGUACUUGGUUUGAUUCAUCAAUCUUGAUACAUGAAGUUACCAUAAAGUUGAUUUAUAGGAUUUUUUAUAUUAGUUCACAAGAUUGAAUGGCCAAAUCUUCUCUGGACCCUCGAUUUUAUUUUGCCAGAGUUGAGUGUUUCUGUCCAAUCA